rnacentral:tRNA from 1 species
GUGAUUGUAGCUCAGUUGGUAGAGCUCUGGAUUGUGGAUCCAGCUGUCGUGGGUUCGAUUCCCAUCAGUCACC